UCACAUUUUACCCCUCUAGAAGACUCUGGCAUUAUCAAAAUUCCAUAUUCCAACGGAGAUUCCGCCGGAAGGUAGGGAUUCCGAUGCCGGAAUCUAGCCGGGUAUUACAUUCUUCCCCCCUUUAAGAACAUUCGUCCUCGAAUGUUCAAACAUCAAACAUGCAUCAAGCAUACAUCAGCAAGCAAGCAACAAGCAAGCAAAACCUAAAAACCUCUCUUCUAAAAGAGAGACACGGUCAUUGCUGGAGUAUAAACUCUCGGUCUCCC
rnacentral:lncRNA from 1 species